rnacentral:rRNA from 1 species
UGAGGAAUAUUGGGCAAUGGAGGCAACUCUGACCCAGCCAUGCCGCGUGAAGGAAGAAGGUUCUAUGGAUUGUAAACUUCUUUUAUUUGGGAAGAAACCUUUCUACGUGUAGAGAGCUGACGGUACCAAACGAAUAAGGACCGGCUAACUCCGUGCCAGCAGCCGCGGUAAUACGGAGGGUCCAAGCGUUAUCCGGAAUCAUUGGGUUUAAAGGGUGCGCAGGCGGUUUAUUAAGUCAGUGGUGAAAUCUCGAGGCUCAACCUCGAAACUGCCAUUGAUACUGAUAAACUUGAGUUCAGUUGGAGUAGGCGGAAUGUGUAGUGUAGCGGUGAAAUGCUUAGAUAUUACACAGAACACCGAUAGCGAAGGCAGCUUACUAAACUGAUACUGACGCUGAGGCACGAAAGCGUGGGGAGCGAACAGGAUUAGAUACCCUGGUAGUCCACGCCGUAAACUAUGAUUACUCGAUAUUGGCGAUAUACAGUCAGUGUCUAAGCGAAAG